UCCCUGGUAGUAUAUCGGCUAGUACACGCGCCUGUCAUUUGACUGAACGGUUAUAUUGCGCGCGCGCGAAAGCGGGGUUCGACUCCCCGCCAGGGAG